AUUGAACGCUGGCGGCAUGCCUUACACAUGCAAGUCGAACGGUAACAGGUCUUCGGAUGCUGACGAGUGGCGAACGGGUGAGUAAUACAUCGGAACGUGCCUAGUAGUGGGGGAUAACUACUCGAAAGAGGGGCUAAUACCGCAUGAGAUCUACGGAUAAAAGCAGGGGAUCGCAAGACCUUGUGCUACUAGAGCGGCCGAUGGCAGAUUAGGUAGUUGGUGGGAUAAAGGCUUACCAAGCCGACGAUCUGUAGCUGGUCUGAGAGGACGAUCAGCCACACUGGGACUGAGAAACGGCCCAGACUCCUACGGGAGGCAGCAGUGGGGAAUUUUGGACAAUGGGCGCAAGCCUGAUCCAGCAAUGCCGCGUGCAGGAUGAAGGCCUUCGGGUUGUAAACUGCUUUUGUACGGAACGAAAAGCCCCGGGUUAAUACCCUGGGGUCAUGACGGUACCGUAAGAAUAAGCACCGGCUAACUACGUGCCAGCCGCCGCGGUAA
rnacentral:rRNA from 1 species